UACGAAGGGGGCUAGCGUUGCUCGGAAUUACUGGGCGUAAAGCGCACGUAGGCGGGUUGUUAAGUCGGGGGUGAAAUCCUGGAGCUCAACUCCAGAACUGCCCUUGAUACUGGGAGCCUUGAGUUCGGGAGAGGUGAGUGGAACUGCGAGUGUAGAGGUGAAAUUCGUAGAUAUUCGCAAGAACACCAGUGGCGAAGGCGGCUCACUGGCCCGAUACUGACGCUGAGGUGCGAAAGCGUGGGGAGCAAAGCAGG
rnacentral:rRNA from 1 species